GCAGGGUCUGGUGACAUAAAGUCACUAAUUGUAGAAGAAAUGUCCAUCCUUUGGUCUGCCAUUGGAUUGCCUGAAAGCUCUUCUUGGAAGCCUAGAUCCACCUGGAGGAAGAAGAGGAUGCUCAGCUUGAAGCAGUUGAACACCUUAAAACUUUUUCAUGCCUCAUAGUCUGUUAGUCAAGUACACUCAAAAACCGUCAGCGCCGCGCGCCCCCUCGCCGCGCCGCGCCCCGAGGUGGGGGGGGGAGGGGGUCGCCGUCCCUCGGCAACGCGCGGCGCGCUCGGAGCGGCACCCGCCGCAGGCAGCCCCCGUCCC
rnacentral:lncRNA from 1 species